GUAUUGAUCGCGCGUCAUCGCGCAAAGAACAUUCUACACUACGUUCGAAUGGGUGUUUAUAAUGUUAAAAACGUGAGCACCCCCCUCCUCCUCCGAGGAAGGAGACCCACGCGGUGAUGCACAAAGGGGUGAGAUGGAUAUUUGUAUGUGAGAGGACUCGGGCGUGCACGACAAAAAAAAAGCCAGCGACAACCCUCGUACCCCCAUUGUACGAUAAUGAUCCUUCCGCAGGUUCACCUACGGAAA
rnacentral:misc_RNA from 1 species